UCCUACGGGUGGCUGCAGUGGGGAAUAUUGGACAAUGGGCGCAAGCCUGAUCCAGCAAUGCCGCGUGUGUGAAGAAGGCCUUCGGGUUGUAAAGCACUUUAAGCAGGGAAGAAAAAACUCGGUCUAAUACAUCGAGUCUUGACGGUACCUGAAGAAUAAGCACCGGCUAACUCUGUGCCAGCAGCCGCGGUAAUACAGAGGGUGCUAGCGUUAAUCGGAUUUACUGGGCGUAAAGCGUGUGUAGGUGGUUGUUCAAGUCAGUUGUGAAAUCCCUUGGCUCAACCUGGGAACUGCUUCUGAGACUGAACGACUAGAGUACGGUAGAGGGUGGUGGAAUUUCCGGUGUAGCGGUGAAAUGCGUAGAUAUCGGAAGGAACAUCAAUGGCGAAGGCAGCCACCUGGGCCUGUACUGACACUGAGACACGAAAGCGUGGGGAUCAAACAGGAUUAGAUACCCUAGUAGUCAC
rnacentral:rRNA from 1 species